AAUCAACGCUGGCGGCGUGCCUAACACAUGCAAGUCGAACGCGAAAGCCCCGCAAGGGGUAAGUAGAGUGGCAAACGGGUGAGUAACACGUGGGUGACCUGCCUUCGAGUGGGGGAUAACGUCCCGAAAGGGACGCUAAUACCGCAUAACAUCCUGCCUUUGAAGAGGUGGAGAUCAAAGCCGGGACCGCAAGGCCUGGCGCUCAAAGAGGGGCCCGCGCCUGAUUAGCUAGNGGUGAGGUAAUGGCUCACCAAGGCAACGAUCAGUAUCCGGCCUGAGAGGGCGGACGGACACACUGGGACUGAGACACGGCCCAGACUCCUACGGGAGGCAGCAGUGGGAAUUGUUCGCAAUGGGCGCAAGCCUGACGACGCAACGCCGCGUGGAGGAUGAAGACC
rnacentral:rRNA from 1 species